CGGGGCUUAAAGUCUUGUAAUUGGAAUGAUGGGAACUUAAACCUCUUCCAGAGUAUCAAUUGGAGGGCAAGUCUGGUGCCAGCAGCCGCGGUAAUUCCAGCUCCAAUAGCGUAUAUUAAAAUUGUUGCAGUUAAAAAGCUCGUAGUUGAAUUUCUGCUGCAUUGCUUGUGUCCCUCUGGGGUCUGUGCAUGUGGCUUUUUUCGGACGGAGUUUCUUUGUCUGAAUGUUUACUUUGAGAAAAUUAGAGUGCUCAAAGCAGGCUUUCGCCUUGAAUAGUUUAGCAUGGAAUAAUAAAGUAGGACUUUGGUUCUAUUUUGUUGGUUUUAGGUACCAAAGUAAUGGUUAAUAGGAACAGUUGGGGGCAUUCGUAUUUAACUGUCAGAGGUGAAAUUCUUAGAUUUGUUAAAGACGAACUACUGCGAAAGCAUUUGCCAAGGAUGUUUUCAUUAAUCAAGAAC
rnacentral:rRNA from 1 species